GUUUUAGUAGCUAUAAAAGUGAUGGGCUUUUAACUCGUCGAAACAGAAUGUCUGUCUAAAGCU
rnacentral:tRNA from 1 species